rnacentral:lncRNA from 1 species
GGGGAAUCGCUUGAACCGGGAGGCGGAGAGGUUGCAGUGAGCUGAGAUCACGCCACUGUACUCCAUCCUGGGUGACAGAGUGAGGAUCCAUCUCAAAAAAAUAAAAAUAAAAUAAAUCUUUCUGGCUGCUCCUCCUUGGGCUAGAUAAUUCUUAUAGAUAGCAAGGGUUCAGCUGGAAGAUUUCUUUGAUAUACAAACUAACCAAUUCAGAGCUAUAUUCCCUCUAUCUGGCAUGGACACCCCAAGAGACAACAUUCCAGUGUCCUAAUCACCCCAUGGCCAGGUACCAGACAACUAGGGAGCACCCCUAUACCUUAUCCUUAGGCCUUUAGAUUAUCAAAACAUAAUCUAAAUUGUUGGGCAAGUACCCAAGAACAACUCCAGAGUUGAUGAAAUCAUGGACUAGAGAAUGUUAAAUACAGUCAGUUUUCAAUAUCCAGUUUAUUAUGUUAUACUAGAUUUUGGAGCUUUUUGCC